UGGGGAAUAUUGGGCAAUGGGGGAAACCCUGACCCAGCAACGCCGCGUGAAGGAAGAAGGCUUUCGGGUUGUAAACUUCUUUGACGAGGGACGAAACAAAUGACGGUACCUCGAAAACAAGCCACGGCUAACUACGUGCCAGCAGCCGCGGUAAUACGUAGGUGGCAAGCGUUGUCCGGAUUUACUGGGUGUAAAGGGCGCGUAGGCGGGACUGCAAGUCAGAUGUGAAAUGCUGAGGCUUAACCUCAGAGCUGCAUUUGAAACUGUGGUUCUUGAGUGAUGGAGAGGCAGGCGGAAUUCCAAGUGUAGCGGUGAAAUGCGUAGAUAUUUGGAGGAACACCAGUGGCGAAGGCGGCCUGCUGGACAUUAACUGACGCUGAGGCGCGAAAGCGUGGGGAGCAAACAGG
rnacentral:rRNA from 2 species